rnacentral:rRNA from 1 species
CAGCCGCCACGGGAAUACGGAGGGGGCUAGCGUUGUUCGGAAUUACUGGGCGUAAAGCGCACGUAGGCGGCUUGGUAAGUUAGAGGUGAAAGCCCGGAGCUCAACUCCGGAAUUGCCUUUAAGACUGCCGAGCUAGUAGGUGAGAGAGGUAAGUGGAAUUCCGAGUGUAGGGGUGAAAUUCGUAGAUAUUCGGAAGGACACCAGUGGCGAAGGCGGCUUACUGGCUCAUUUUAGACGCUGAGGUGCGAAAGCGUGGGGAGCAAACAGGAUUAGAUACCCCAGUAGUCCCUGUCUCUUAUAC